CGGAAGGAGGCUCCGGUCAGGGGUCCCGGUUUGGGGUGCUGAGCCCGUGGAUGGUGAGUCCGCUGGUGCUGGGUCCGUGGGGCACUGACUCCGGGGGUGCUGGGUCCUGGGUUCCGGAAGUCCUAGGUACCGACUGCGAGGACUGCUGAGUCCUGGGUGCUGGGUCUGGGGAGGCUGGAUCCUGGGUGCUGGGUCCUGACUCCGGGGGGUGCUGGGUCCUGGGUGCUGACUAUGAGGACUGCUGAGUUCUGGGUGCUGGGUCCUGACUCCGGGGUUACCGAGUCCUGGGUGCUGAGUCUGAGGGGUGCUGAGUCCGGGGUACCGAGUUCUGGGCGCUGGGUCUGAGGUACCGAGUCCUGGGUACUGAGUCCCGGGUGCCGGGUCCGAGGUACCGAGUCCCGGGUACUGAGUCCUGGGUACUGAGUCCCGGGUACCGAG